UACGUAGGUGGCAAGCGUUAUCCGGAAUUACUGGGCGUAAAGCGCACGCAGGCGGCUCGUUAAGUCUGACGUGAAAGAACCUGGCUUAACUGGGGGAGGUCGUUGGAGACUGGCGGGCUUGAGGCAAUGAGAGGGGUGCGGAAUUCCCGGUGUAGUGGUGGAAUGCGUAGAGAUCGGGAGGAACACCUGUGGCGAAAGCGGCACCCUGGCAUUGGCCUGACGCUCAUGUGCGAAAGCGUGGGGAGCGAACGGG
rnacentral:rRNA from 1 species